CAAAAAUCCUAGUCACCARAAUCCUCCGAAUAAUCACUUUUCAAAGAUUCUCAGACCUCGUGGCAGGUGGUGUCAAGGUCUGCGAUUCCAGGUUGGACCCAGCUGACGUCUGCAGAAACAGUGCCUGCUCUCAAACCUGCUGCUUCACCUCGCCCCAAGAUCAAGAAGAUCCACUUUCCAGGCUGAAGGCUUCCUGAACGACUUCUCUUGACAGUUCAUCUGGAUACGGAUUUGAGGGACAGAGGAGAGCGUGCCCUGCAGAUCGCUUACAGGAACCAUCAGGUAACAGUUACUGAAACAAAGGCUGAUCAUAACUGUAUGCGGGAGAUUUUUGCAAGCCAUAACCUCUUUUAAUCAUAUUUUGUCUUUUAAAAUCCAAAUGAGAGAACAUGCGCUUACCCCGACUGGAUCUUCCUCUGCAAGUGCUGUGAGAACUGCAGACUCGCAGCUGGAGCAGCGUGUGUUCACCUGCAGCCCCAUCUGCUGUAGAGGGGUAAGGCGAGUGCCCGUUCAGCGCCGCGCUCCUGCCUGA
rnacentral:lncRNA from 1 species